rnacentral:ncRNA from 1 species
GCUUGAAAAGGGCAAUCUGCACGAAAGUGCAGUACGCAAAACCAUCGGCCUAAGUCCGGAAGCGGAUAUGGCGGCCAUCGGCCUAAGUCCGGAAGCGGAUAUGGCGGCAGGGUUGCCAAG